rnacentral:rRNA from 1 species
ACUAAAUAGAUACCCGGGUAGUCCACGCAGUAAACGAUGAAUACUAGCUGUAUGCGAUAUACUGUAUGCGGCACAGCGAAAGCGUUAAGUAUUCCACCUGGGGAGUACGUUCGCAAGAAUGAAACUCAAAGGAAUUGACGGGGGCCCGGCACAAGCGGAGGAACAUGUGGUUUAAUUCGAUGAUACGCGAGGAACCUUACCCGGGCUUGAAAUGCAGAGGAAUGAGGAGGAAACUUCUCCGCCAGCAAUGGUCUCUGUGUAGGUGCUGCACGGUUGUCGUCAGCUCGUGCCGUGAGGUGUCGGCUUAAGUGCCAUAACGAGCGCAACCCUUAUCAUUAGUUACCUAACAGGUUAAGCUGAGGACUCUAAUGAGACUGCCGCCGUAACGGUGUGAGGAAGGUGGGGUAUGACGUCAAACUCAGCACGGCCCUUACGGUCCGGGGUCGACACACGGUGUUACAAUGGGGUAGUACAGAGGGUUUGCUACCGCGCGAGCGGAUGCUAAUCUCAUAAACUCUUCUCUCAGUUCGGUAUCGGA